GAUGAACGCUGGCGGCGUGCCUAAUACAUGCAAGUCGAGCGAACGGACGAGAAGCUUGCUUCUCUGAUGUUAGCGGCGGACGGGUGAGUAACACGUGGAUAACCUACCUAUAAGACUGGGAUAACUUCGGGAAACCGGAGCUAAUACCGGUUGAUAUUUUGAACCGCAUGGUUCAACAGUGAAAGACGGUCUUGCUGUCACUUAUAGAUGGAUCCGCGCUGCAUUAGCUAGUUGGUAAGGUAACGGCUUACCAAGGCAACGAUGCAUAGCCGACCUGAGAGGGUGAUCGGCCACACUGGAACUGAGACACGGUCCAGACUCCUACGGGAGGCAGCAGUAGGGAAUCUUCCGCAAUGGGCGAAAGCCUGACGGAGCAACGCCGCGUGAGUGAUGAAGGUCUUCGGAUCGUAAAACUCUGUAAUUAGGGAAGAACAUAAGUGUAAGUAACUGUGCACAUCUUGACGGUACCUAAUCAGAAAGCCACGGCUAACUUCGUG
rnacentral:rRNA from 1 species